rnacentral:lncRNA from 1 species
UGGGUUUACCAGUAACACAGGCGUGUGCAUUAAUAUCCAAUAAAGCCCUUCUUUGCUAGCUCCAUGGUGAACCUCCUUGUGAUCUUUUCCAAUUCAUUUUCGGUAUAGUUCUUGGGAUUGAUCUUAACACCAGCUUUAGCACCCCCAAACGGCACAUCAACCACUGCACACUUGUAUGUCAUCAGAGAAGCCAAAGCUUUUACUUCAUCUACACUUACAUCAGUGCUGUAACGGAUACCUCCCUUGCAGGGCGUGCGGUGCUGGCUGUGCUGGGCCCGGUAGCCUUCAAUGACCUCCCAGGAGCCGUCGUCGCGCCGGAUGGGGAAGGAGAGACUCAGCACAUGGUUGCAGGGCUUGAUGAUCCGCAGGAUGCCGCGCACCCGGUUCCGCUUCUGCUCCUCGCU